AAUUUUCCACAAUGGACGAAAGUCUGAUGGAGCAACGCCGCGUGCAGGAUGAAUGCCUUCGGGUUGUAAACUGCUUUUAUUAGUGACGAUUAUGACGGUAACUAAUGAAUAAGGACCUGCUAACUACGUGCCAGCAGCCGCGGUCAUACGUAGGGUCCAAGCGUUAUCCGGAAUUACUGGGCGUAAAGAGUUGCGUAGGUGGCAUAGUAAGUAGAUAGUGAAAGCGUGUGGCUCAACCAUACAUCCAUUAUCUAAACUGCUAAGCUUGAGGAUGAGAGAGGUAGAUGGAAUUUCUGAUGUAGGGGUAAUAUCCGUAGAUAUCAGAAGGAACACCGAUGGCGUAAGCAGUCUACUGGCUCAUUCCUGACACUAAGGCACGAAAGCGUGGGGAGCAAAC
rnacentral:rRNA from 1 species